rnacentral:lncRNA from 1 species
UACGCUUGUGCUACUAGUUAGCUAGCCGUGUGGCCCGCCACGUACCUGCUGUGGUGGCUGAUCGACGGUGACAAAACUAACAGGCAUGCAUGCCACGGCUGGAGUAUUUUUUAAAAUAAACCCAAUUUUUAUUUAUUAAAGAUAACCAAUACAUCGUUUGUGAAGGUCGUUAUAAUUUCACAUAAAGGUUUCUCAGACCAUU